rnacentral:rRNA from 1 species
UACGGAGGGGGGCUAGCGUUGUUCGGAAUUACUGGGCGUAAAGCGCACGUAGGCGGCUUUGUAAGUUAGAGGUGAAAGCCCAGGGCUUAACCCUGGAAUUGCCUUUAAGACUGCAUCGCUAGAAUCGUGGAGAGGUGAGUGGAAUUCCGAGUGUAGAGGUGAAAUUCGUAGAUAUUCGGAGGAAUACCUGUGGCGAAGGCGGCCUUCUGGACCGGUCCUGACGCUGAG